UGGGGAAUUUUGGACAAUUGGGCGAAAGCCUGAUCCAGCAAUGCCGCGUGUGUGAAGAAGGCCUUCGGGUUGUAAAGCACUUUUGUCCGGAAAGAAAUCCUUGGCUCUAAUACAGUCGGGGGAUGACGGUACCGGAAGAAUAAGCACCGGCUAACUACGUGCCAGCAGCCGCGGUAAUACGUAGGGUGCAAGCGUUAAUCGGAAUUACUGGGCGUAAAGCGUGCGCAGGCGGUUUGCUAAGACCGAUGUGAAAUCCCCGGGCUCAACCUGGGAACUGCAUUGGUGACUGGCAGGCUAGAGUAUGGCAGAGGGGGGUUAGAAUUCCACGUGUAGCAGUGAAAUGCGUAGAGAUGUGGAGGAAUACCGAUGGCGAAGGCAGCCCCCUGGGCCGAUACUGACGCUCAUGCACGAAAGCGUGGGGAGCAAACAGGAUUAGAUNCCCUGGUAGUCCACGCCCCUAAAACGAUGUCAACUAGUUGUUGGGGGAUUCAUUUUCCUUAGUAACGUAGCUAACGCGUGAAGUUGACCGCCU
rnacentral:rRNA from 1 species